AAAGAAAGUAAGCAAGGGCGCAUGGCGGAUGCCUUGGCUCUCGGAGGCGAUGAAGGACGUGAUAAGCUGCGAUAAGCUUCGGGUAGGUGCAAAUAACCUUUGAUCCGAAGAUUUCCGAAUGGGACAACCCGGCAUUCUGAAGGAAUGCCAUCCUGGAUAGCAGGAAGCUAACGCAGGGAACUGAAACAUCUUAGUACCUGCAGGAAAAGAAAAUAAUAAUGAUUCCCCUAGUAGUGGCGAGCGAACGGGGAUUAGCCCAAACCAAUGUUGUUACGGCAAUAUUGGGGUUGUAGGACCACGAUGUCGCAAGAAAUUUAGUGAGAAGAAUUCUUUGGAAAAUGAAACCAUAGACGGUGAUAGUCCGGUAUUCGAAGCUAAACGAAGCGUAGUGGUAUCCUGAGUAGCGCGGGACACGAGGAAUCUUGCGUGAAUCUGCCGGGACCAUCCGGUAAGGCUAAAUACUCCCGAGAGACCGAUAGCGAACCAGUACUGUGAAGGAAAGGUGAAAAGCACUUCGAAUAGAAGAGUGAAAUAGUCCCUGAAACCGUGCGCCUACAAGCGGUCGGAGCAGCGUAAGUUGUGACGGCGUGCCUUUUGCAUAAUGAACCUACGAGUUACUUUUUCCGGCAAGGUUAAGCAUUUCAAAAUGUGUAGCCGAAGCGAAAGCGAGUCUGAACAGGGCGAUUAGUCGGAAGGAGUAGACGCGAAACCAAGUGAUCUACCCUUGGUCAGGUUGAAGGUUAGGUAACACUAACUGGAGGACCGAACCGAUAAGCGUUGAAAAGCUUCCGGAUGAACUGAGGGUGGGGGUGAAAGGCUAAUCAAACUUGGAGAUAGCUCGUACUCCCCGAAAUGCAUUUAGGUGCAGCCUUGGGAAUUACUACUGUGAGGUAGAGCGACUGAUAAGAUGCGAGGGCUUCACCGCCUAUCAAGUCUUGAUAAACUCCGAAUGCGCAGUAGUUCGAUCCCAGGAGUGAGGGCAUGGGUGCUAAGGUCCAUGUCCUAAAGGAGAAGAAUCCGGACCAUCAGCUAAGGUCCCGAAAUAAUUGCUAAGUUGAACUAACGAAGUCAGAUUGCUAAGACAGCUAGGAUGUUGGCUUGGAAGCAGCCAUUCAUUUAAAGAGUGCGUAACAGCUCACUAGUCGAGGAGUUUGGCGUGGAUAAUAAUCGGGCAUCAAGCAAUUUACCGAAGCUAUGGGAU
rnacentral:rRNA from 1 species